UAGGGAAUCUUCGGCAAUGGACGGAAGUCUGACCGAGCAACGCCGCGUGAGUGAAGAAGGUUUUCGGAUCGUAAAGCUCUGUUGUAAGAGAAGAACGAGUGUGAGAGUGGAAAGUUCACACUGUGACGGUAUCUUACCAGAAAGGGACGGCUAACUACGUGCCAGCAGCCGCGGUAAUACGUAGGUCCCGAGCGUUGUCCGGAUUUAUUGGGCGUAAAGCGAGCGCAGGCGGUUAGAUAAGUCUGAAGUUAAAGGCUGUGGCUUAACCAUAGUAGGCUUUGGAAACUGUUUAACUUGAGUGCAAGAGGGGAGAGUGGAAUUCCAUGUGUAGCGGUGAAAUGCGUAGAUAUAUGGAGGAACACCGGCGGCGAAAGCGGCUCUCUGGCUUGUAACUGACGCUGAGGCUCGAAAGCGUGGGGAGCAAACAGGAUUAGAUACCCUGGUAGUCCACGCUGUAAACGAUGAGUGCUAGGUGUUAGACCCUUUCCGGGGUUUAGUGCCGUAGCUAACGCAUUAAGCACUCCGCCUGGGGAGUACGACCGCAAGGUUG
rnacentral:rRNA from 1 species